rnacentral:rRNA from 1 species
CGAACGGGUGAGUAACACGUGAGUAAUCCACCCUUGGUACCGGGAUAGCUCGGGGAAACUCGAAUUAAUACCGGAUAGCCCAUUUGCCUUUCGAGGCGAAUGGAAAAGGUAGCUUCGGCCUCCGACCAAGGACGAGCUCGCGGCGGAUUAGCUUGUUGGCGGGGUAAUGGCCCACCAAGGCGACGAUCCGUAGCUGGUCUGAGAGGACGAUCAGCCACACUGGAACUGAAACACGGUCCAG